GAGUGAUGAAGGCUUUCGGGUCGUAAAACUCUGUUGUUAGGGAAGAACAAGUGCUAGUUGAAUAAGCUGGCACCUUGACGGUACCUAACCAGAAAGCCACGGCUAACUACGUGCCAGCAGCCGCGGUAAUACGUAGGUGGCAAGCGUUAUCCGGAAUUAUUGGGCGUAAAGCGCGCGCAGGUGGUUUCUUAAGUCUGAUGUGAAAGCCCACGGCUCAACCGUGGAGGGUCAUUGGAAACUGGGAGACUUGAGUGCAGAAGAGGAAAGUGGAAUUCCAUGUGUAGCGGUGAAAUGCGUAGAGAUAUGGAGGAACACCAGUGGCGAAGGCGACUUUCUGGUCUGUAACUGACACUGAGGCGCGAAAGCGUGGGGAGCAAACAGGAUUAGAUACCCUGGUAGUCCACGCCGUAAACGAUGAGUGCUAAGUGUUAGAGGGUUUCCGCCCUUUAGUGCUGAAGUUAACGCAUUAAGCACUCCGCCUGGGGAGUACGGCCGCAAGGCUGAAACUCAAAGGAAUUGACGGGGGCCCGCACAAGCGG
rnacentral:rRNA from 1 species